GCGAGAAUAGCCAAGAGGUAAGGCGCAGGUCUGCAAAACCUUGAUCGUGGGUUCGAAUCCCAUUUCUUGCU
rnacentral:tRNA from 1 species